GGGCGGGAGAGACUAACAGGAUUCCCCUAGUAACUGCGAGUGAAGCGGGAAAAGCUCAAAUUUAAAAUCUGGCAGUCUCUGGCUGUCCGAGUUGUAAUCUAGAGAAGUAAUGCCCGUGCUGGACCGUGUAUAAGUCUCCUGGGAUGGGGCGUCAUAGAGGGUGAGAAUCCCGUCUUUGACACGGACUACCAGUGCAUUGUGGUAUGCUCUCAAAGAGUCGAGUUGUUUGGGAAUGCAGCUCAAAAUGGGUGGUAAAUUCCAUCUAAAGCUAAAUAUUGGCGAGAGACCGAUAGCGAACAAGUACCGUGAGGGAAAGAUGAAAAGAACUUUGGAAAGAGAGUUAAACAGUACGUGAAAUUGCUGAAAGGGAAACGCUUGAAGUCAGUCGCGUUGGCUGGAAAUCAGCCUUGCUUUUGCAUGGUGUAUUUUCUGGUUGACGGGUCAGCAUCAAUUUUGACCGCUGGAAAAAGGCCUGGGGAAUGUGGCAGCUUCGGCUGUGUUAUAGCCCCUAGUCACAUACAGUGGUUGGGAUUGAGGAACUCAGCACGCCGCAAGGCCGGGUUUCGACCACGACCGUGCUUAGGAUGCUGGCAUAAUGGCUUUAAGCGACCCGUCUUGAAACACGGACCAAGGAGUCUAACAUGCCUGCGAGUAUUUGGGUGGAAAACUCAAGUGCGUAAUGAAAGUGAAAGUUGAGAUCCCUGUCGUGGGGAGCAUCGACGCCCGGACCAGAACUUUUGGGACGGAUCCGCGGUGGAGCAUGUAUGUUGGGACCCGAAAGAUGGUGAACUAUGCCUGAAUAGGGUGAAGCCAGAGGAAACUCUGGUGGAGGCUCGUAGCGAUUCUGACGUGCAAAUCGAUCGUCAAAUUUGGGUAUAGGGGCGAAAGACUAAUCGAACCAUCAAGGUUGUGC
rnacentral:rRNA from 1 species